CUAUCUAUCAUCUAUCUCUCUGUUAUCUAUCUAUCUGUCAUCUAUCUAUCUAUCUAUCUAUCUAUCUUAGUUUUAUGUUGAUUUAAUAGAACACCACAGAGUGUGUAAUCCAUGAUGAAUAGAAAUUUAUUUGGCUCACAAUUGUGGAGGCUGGGAAGCCCAAGGGAAUGGCACCAGCAUCUGGUGAAGGUCUUGGUGCAAAAUGACAGAAGGCAGAAGGGCAAGAGAGUGCAAAAGCAAGCAAGCAAGACAGGGCUGAACUCACUUUUAUAAUAACUCACUCUCAUAACAAAUCCACUUUCUUAAUGUCCCACCUCCUGAUACUGUCACAAUGGCAAUUAAAUUUCAACAUGAGUUUUGGAGGAGACAUUCAAGCAAUAUUAUUUUACCCCUUGUCCCCCAUGACUCAUGUUCUUUUCACAUACAAAAUACAUUCAUUCCAUCCCAAUGCCCCAAAACUCUUAACUUAUUCCAACAACUCAAAAGUUCAAAAUCCAGAGCCUCAUCUAACUCAGAUGUGGAUGAGAUCAAGACACAAUUCAUCCUGAGGCAAAUUCCUCUCCAGCUGUGAGCUUGUGAAAUUAACAAACUACGUGCUUCCAAAAUACAAUGGUGGGGUAGGCAUAGGAUAGAUAUUCCAAAAGGGGGAAAUAGGCAAGAAAAAAAAGUAACAGGCCCGA
rnacentral:lncRNA from 1 species